UACGUAGGGUGCGAGCGUUAAUCGGAAUUACUGGGCGUAAAGCGUGCGCAGGCGGUUUUGUAAGCCAGAUGUGAAAUCCCCGGGCUUAACCUGGGAAUGGCAUUUGGGACUGCAAGGCUGGAGUGUGGCAGAGGAGACUGGAAUUCCUGGUGUAGCAGUGAAAUGCGUAGAUAUCAGGAGGAAUACCGAUGGCGAAGGCGGCCUUCUGGGUCGACCCUGACGCUGAGAGGCGAAAGCGUGGGGAGCGAACGGG
rnacentral:rRNA from 1 species